rnacentral:rRNA from 1 species
GUGAGGAAUAUUGGACAAUGGGCGCAAGCCUGAUCCAGCCAUGCCGCGUGCAGGAAGACGCAUCUAUGGUGUGUAAACUGCUUUUGUACGGGAAGAAACACUCCCUCGUGAGGGAGCUUGACGGUACCGUAAGAAUAAGGAUCGGCUAACUCCGUGCCAGCAGCCGCGGUAAUACGGAGGAUCCAAGCGUUAUCCGGAAUCAUUGGGUUUAAAGGGUCCGUAGGCGGUUUAAUAAGUCAGUGGUGAAGGCUCAUCGCUCAACGAUGUAACGGCCAUUGAUACUGUUAGACUUGAAUUACAAGGAAGUAACUAGAAUAUGUAGUGUAGCGGUGAAAUGCUUAGAUAUUACAUGGAAUACCAAUUGCGAAGGCAGGUUACUACUUGUGGAUUGACGCUGAUGGACGAAAGCGUGGGGAGCGAACAGGAUUAGAAACCCUUGUAGUCC